AGUGAACGCUGGCGGUAUGCCUAACACAUGCAAGUCGAACGGCAGCACAGUAAGAGCUUGCUCUUACGGGUGGCGAGUGGCGGACGGGUGAGGAAUACAUCGGAAUCUACUUUUUCGUGGGGGAUAACGUAGGGAAACUUACGCUAAUACCGCAUACGACCUACGGGUGAAAGCAGGGGAUCUUCGGACCUUGCGCGAUUGAAUGAGCCGAUGUCGGAUCAGCUAGUUGGCGGGGUAAAGGCCCACCAAGGCGACGAUCCGUAGCUGGUCUGAGAGGAUGAUCAGCCACACUGGAACUGAGACACGGUCCAGACUCCUACGGGAGGCAGCAGUGGGGAAUAUUGGACAAUGGGCGCAAGCCUGAUCCAGCCAUACCGCGUGAGUGAAGAAGGCCUUCGGGUUGUAAAGCCCUUUUGUUGGGAAAGAACAGCAGCAGGUUAAUACCCCGCUGUUCUGACGGUACCCAAAGAAUAAGCACCGGCUAACUUCGUG
rnacentral:rRNA from 1 species